UUGCGGCGCACAUAAGACAUGCAAGUCGAACGGACUUAACCAUUAGUUUACUAUUGGAGCGGUUAGUGGCGGACUGGUGAGUAACACGUAAGCAACCUGCCUAUCAGAGGGGAACAACAGUUAGAAAUGACUGCUAAUACCGCAUAUGCCUUAAUUACCACAUGGUAAUAGAGGGAAAGGAGUAAUCCGCUGAUAGAUGGGCUUGCGUCUGAUUAGAUAGUUGGUAAGGUAACGGCUUACCAAGUCGACGAUCAGUAGCCGGACUGAGAGGUUGAACGGCCACAUUGGGACUGAGAUACGGCCCAGACUCCUACGGGAGGCAGCAGUCGGGAAUAUUGCGCAAUGGAGGAAACUCUGACGCAGUGACGCCGCGUGCAGGAAGAAGGUUUUCGGAUUGUAAACUGCUUUAGACAGGGAAGAAACAAGACAGUACCUGUAGAAUAAGCUCCGGCUAACUACGUGCCAGCAGCCGCGGUAAUACGUAGGGAGCAAGCGUUAUCCGGAUUUAUUGGGUGUAAAGGGUGCGUAGACGGGAAUGCAAGUUGGUUGUGAAAUCCCUCGGCUCAACCGAGGAAUUGCAACCAAAACUAUAUUUCUUGAGUGCUGGAGAGGAAAGUGGAAUUCCUAGUGUAGCGGUGAAAUGCGUAGAUAUUAGGAGGAACACCAGUGGCGAAGGCGACUUUCUGGACAGUAACUGACGUUGAGGCACGAAAGUGUGGGGAGCAAACAGGAUUAGAUACCCUGGUAGUCCACACCGUAAACGAUGGAUACUAGGUGUAGGGGAUGAAUAAUCUUCUGUGCCGUCGCAAACGCAGUAAGUAUCCCACCUGGGGAGUACGGCCGCAAGGUUGAAACUCAAAGGAAUUGACGGGGGCCCGCACAAGCAGUGGAGUAUGUGGUUUAAUUCGACGCAACGCGAAGAACCUUACCAGGGCUUGACAUAUACAUGAAAAUCUAAGAGAUUAGAUCCCUCUUCGGAGCAUGUAUACAGGUGGUGCAUGGUUGUCGUCAGCUCGUGUCGUGAGAUGUUGGGUUAAGUCCCGCAACGAGCGCAACCCCUGUUCUUAGUUGCCAGCAUGUAAAGAUGGGCACUCUAGGGAGACUGCCAGGGAUAACCUGGAGGAAGGUGGGGAUGACGUCAAAUCAUCAUGCCCCUUAUGAUUUGGGCUACACACGUGCUACAAUGGCGUAAACAAAGGGAAGCAAGACAGUGAUGUGGAGCAAAUCCCAAAAAUAACGUCCCAGUUCGGACUGUAGUCUGCAACCCGACUACACGAAGCUGGAAUCGCUAGUAAUCGCGAAUCAGAAUGUCGCGGUGAAUACGUUCCCGGGUCUUGUACACACCGCCCGUCACACCAUGGGAGUCAGCAACGCCCGAAGUCAGUGACCCAACUCGCAAGAGAGGGAGCUGCCGAAGGCGGGGCAGGUAACUGG
rnacentral:rRNA from 1 species